CAGCAGCCGCGGGAAUACGUAGGUGGCAAGCGUUGUCCGGAAUUAUUGGGCGUAAAGGGCUCGCAGGCGGUUUCUUAAGUCUGAUGUGAAAGCCCCCGGCUCAACCGGGGAGGGUCAUUGGAAACUGGGAAACUUGAGUGCGGAAGAGGAGAGUGGAAUUCCACGUGUAGCGGUGAAAUGCGUAGAGAUGUGGAGGAACACCAGUGGCGAAGGCGACUCUCUGGUCUGUAACUGACGCUGAGGAGCGAAAGCGUGGGGAGCGAACAGGAUUAGAUACCCCGGUAGUCCCUGUCUCUUAUAA
rnacentral:rRNA from 1 species